CAGGCUUAACACAUGCAAGUCGAGGGGCAGCAUGGUCUUAGCUUGCUAAGGCCGAUGGCGACCGGCGCACGGGUGAGUAACACGUAUCCAACCUGCCGUCUACUCUUGGACAGCCUUCUGAAAGGAAGAUUAAUACAAGAUGGCAUCAUGAGUCCGCAUGUUCACAUGAUUAAAGGUAUUCCGGUAGACGAUGGGGAUGCGUUCCAUUAGAUAGUAGGCGGGGUAACGGCCCACCUAGUCUUCGAUGGAUAGGGGUUCUGAGAGGAAGGUCCCCCACAUUGGAACUGAGACACGGUCCAAACUCCUACGGGAGGCAGCAGUGAGGAAUAUUGGUCAAUGGGCGAGAGCCUGAACCAGCCAAGUAGCGUGAAGGAUGACUGCCCUAUGGGUUGUAAACUUCUUUUAUAAAGGAAUAAAGUCGGGUAUGCAUACCCGUUUGCAUGUACUUUAUGAAUAAGGAUCGGCUAACUCCGUGCCAGCAGCCGCGGUAAUACGGAGGAUCCGAGCGUUAUCCGGAUUUAUUGGGUUUAAAGGGAGCGUAGAUGGAUGUUUAAGUCAGUUGUGAAAGUUUGCGGCUCAACCGUAAAAUUGCAGUUGAUACUGGAUAUCUUGAGUGCAGUUGAGGCAGGCGGAAUUCGUGGUGUAGCGGUGAAAUGCUUAGAUAUCACGAAGAACUCCGAUUGCGAAGGCAGCCCUGCUAAGCUGCAACUGACAUUGAGGCUCGAAAGUGUGGGUAUCAAACAGGAUUAGAUACCCUGGUAGUCCACACGGUAAACGAUGAAUACUCGCUGUUUGCGAUAUACAGCAAGCGGCCAAGCGAAAGCGUUAAGUAUUCCACCUGGGGAGUACGCCGGCAACGGUGAAACUCAAAGGAAUUGACGGGGGCCCGCACAAGCGGAGGAACAUGUGGUUUAAUUCGAUGAUACGCGAGGAACCUUACCCGGGCUUAAAUUGCAGAUGAAUUACGGUGAAAGCCGUAAGCCGCAAGGCAUCUGUGAAGGUGUUGCAUGGUUGUCGUCAGCUCGUGCCGUGAGGUGUCGGCUUAAGUGCCAUAACGAGCGCAACCCUUGUUGUCAGUUACUAACAGGUUCCGCUGAGGACUCUGACAAGACUGCCAUCGUAAGAUGUGAGGAAGGUGGGGAUGACGUCAAAUCAGCACGGCCCUUACGUCCGGGGCUACACACGUGUUACAAUGGGGGGGUACAGAGGGCCGCUACCACGCGAGUGGAUGCCAAUCCCAAAAACCUCUCUCAGUUCGGACUGGAGUCUGCAACCCGACUCCACGAAGCUGGAUUCGCUAGUAAUCACGCAUCAGCCACGGCGCGGUGAAUACGUUCCCGGGCCUUGUACACACCGCCCGUCAAGCCAUGGGAGCCGGGGGUACCUGAAGUGCGUAACCGCGAGGAGCGCCCUAGGGUAAAACUGGUGACUGGGGCUAA
rnacentral:rRNA from 1 species